GGGACACGUGGUAUCCUGUCUGAAUAUGGGGGGACCAUCCUCCAAGGCUAAAUACUCCUGACUGACCGAUAGUGAACCAGUACCGUGAGGGAAAGGCGAAAAGAACCCCGGCGAGGGGAGUGAAAAAGAACCUGAAACCGUGUACGUACAAGCAGUGGGAGCACAGGUUUACCUGUGUGACUGCGUACCUUUUGUAUAAUGGGUCAGCGACUUAUAUUCUGUAGCAAGGUUAACCGAAUAGGGGAGCCGGAGGGAAACCGAGUCUUAAUUGGGCGUUAAGUUGCAGGGUAUAGACCCGAAACCCGGUGAUCUAGCCAUGGGCAGGUUGAAGGUUGGGUAACACUAACUGGAGGACCGAACCGACUAAUGUUGAAAAAUUAGCGGAUGACCUGUGGCUGGGGGUGAAAGGCCAAUCAAACCGGGAGAUAGCUGGUUCUCCCCGAAAGCUAUUUAGGUAGCGCCUCGUGAAUUCAUCUCCGGGGGUAGAGCACUGUUUCGGCUAGGGGGCCAUCCCGGCUUACCAACCCGAUGCAAACUGCGAAUACCGGAGAAUGUUAUCACGGGAGACACACGGCGGGUGCUAACGUCCGUCGUGAAGAGGGAAACAACCCAGACCGCCAGCUAAGGUCCCAAAGUCAUGGUUAAGUGGGAAACGAUGUGGGAAGGCCCAGACAGCCAGGAUGUUGGCUUAGAAGCAGCCAUCAUUUAAAGAAAGCGUAAUAGCUCACUGGUCGAGUCGGCCUGCGCGGAAGAUGUAACGGGGCUAAACCAUGCACCGAAGCUGCGGCAGCGACGCUUAUGCGUUGUUGGGUAGGGGAGCGUUCUGUAAGCCUGUGAAGGUGUGUCGUGAGGCAUGCUGGAGGUAUCAGAAGUGCGAAUGCUGACAUAAGUAACGAUAAAGCGGGUGAAAAGCCCGCUCGCCGGAAGACCAAGGGUUCCUGUCCAACGUUAAUCGGGGCAGGGUGAGUCGACCCCUAAGGCGAGGCCGAAAGGCGUAGUCGAUGGGAAACGGGUUAAUAUUCCCGUACUUGGUGUUACUGCGAAGGGGGGACGGAGAAGGCUAUGUUGGCCGGGCGACGGUUGUCCCGGUUUAAGCGUGUAGGUGUGUGUUCCAGGUAAAUCCGGUUCACUUUAACACUGAGGCGUGA
rnacentral:rRNA from 1 species